rnacentral:rRNA from 1 species
GAGCACGUAGGUGGGUUUGUAAGUCAGAUGUGAAAGCCUUCUGUUCAACGGAAGAAUUGCAUCUGAAACUGCGAGUCUUGAGUGUAGGAGGGGAGAAUGGAACUUCUGGUGGAGCGGUGAAAUGCGUAGAUAUCAGAAGGAACGCCGGCGGCGAAAGCGAUUCUCUGGCCUAUUACUGACACUCAGUGUGCGAAAGCUAGGGGAGCAAACGGGAUUAGAUACCCCGGUAGUCCUAGCCGUAAACGAUGGGCACUAAGUAGAGGGAAUUACCGAUAUUCUCUCUGCCGUAGCUAACGCAUUAAGUGCCCCGCCUGGGGAGUACGGCCGCAAGGCUAAAACUCAAAAGAAUUGACGGGGGCUCGCACAAGCGGUGGAGCAUGUGGCUUAAUUCGAUGCAGCGCGAAAAACCUUACCGGGGCUUGACAUGGUAGAAGUAGGAACCCGAAAGGGUAACGAACGGUAUCCAGUCCGUAGCUAUUACAGGUGUUGCAUGGCUGUCGUCAGCUCGUGUCGUGAGACGUUGGGUUAAGUCCCCUAACGAGCGAAACCCUUGUUUUUAGUUGCCAGCGGGUUGUGCCGGGCACUCUAGAAAGACUGCCGUCGUCAAGACGGAGGAAGGUGGGGACGACGUCAAGUCAUCAUGGCCCUUAUGCCCCGGGCUGCACACGUGCUACAAUGGUCGGUACAAACGGAAGCGAAGCCGAGAGGUGAAGCGAAUCC